rnacentral:rRNA from 1 species
CAGGCCUAACACAUGCAAGUCGAGCGGUAACAGGGGAAGCUUGCUUCUCGCUGACGAGCGGCGGACGGGUGAGUAAUGUAUGGGGAUCUGCCCGAUAGAGGGGGAUAACUACUGGAAACGGUAGCUAAUACCGCAUAAUCUCUCAGGAGCAAAGCAGGGGAACUUCGGUCCUUGCGCUAUCGGAUGAACCCAUAUGGGAUUAGCUAGUAGGUGAGGUAAUGGCUCACCUAGGCGACGAUCCCUAGCUGGUCUGAGAGGAUGAUCAGCCACACUGGGACUGAGACACGGCCCAGACUCCUACGGGAGGCAGCAGUGGGGAAUAUUGCACAAUGGGCGCAAGCCUGAUGCAGCCAUGCCGCGUGUAUGAAGAAGGCCCUAGGGUUGUAAAGUACUUUCAGUCGGGAGGAAGGCGUUGAUGCUAAUAUCAUCAACGAUUGACGUUACCGACAGAAGAAGCACCGG